CCUACGGGAGGCAGCAGUGGGAAUAUUGCGCAAUGGGCGAAAGCCUGACGCAGCGACGCCGCGUGAGGGAUGAAGGUCUUCGGAUCGUAAACCUCUCUCAGCAGGGAAGAACGGUCACUGUGCUAAUCAGCAGUGAAUUGACGGUACCUGCAAAGGAAGCACCUGCUAACUCCGGGCCAGCAGCUGCGGUAAUACGGAGGGUGCGAGCGUUAAUCGGAAUUACUGGGCGUAAAGCGAUCGUAGGCGGUAUUGCAAGUAAAGGGUGAAAUCCCCGCGCUCAACGUGGGAACUGCCUGUGAAACUGGCAAACUGGAGUGUGUGAGAGGAUAGUGGAAUUCCAGGGGUAGGAGUGAAAUCCGUAGAUAUCUGGAGGAACAUCAGUGGCGAAGGCGACUUACUGGACUGUAACUGACGUGGAGGCUCGAAAGCGUGGGGAGCAAACAGGAUUAGAUACCCCUGUAGUC
rnacentral:rRNA from 1 species